AGUGAACGCUGGCGGUAGGCCUAACACAUGCAAGUCGAACGGCAGCACAGUGAGAGCUUGCUCUUACGGGUGGCGAGUGGCGGACGGGUGAGGAAUACAUCGGAAUCUACUUUUUCGUGGGGGGUAACGUAGGGAAACUUACGCUAAUACCGCAUACGACCUACGGGUGAAAGCAGGGGAUCUUCGGACCUUGCGCGAUUGAAUGAGCCGAUGUCGGAUUAGCUAGUUGGCGGGGUAAAGGCCCACCAAGGCGACGAUCCGUAGCUGGUCUGAGAGGAUGAUCAGCCACACUGGAACUGAGACACGGUCCAGACUCCUACGGGAGGCAGCAGUGGGGAAUAUUGGACAAUGGGCGCAAGCCUGAUCCAGCCAUACCGCGUGGGUGAAGAAGGCCUUCGGGUUGUAAAGCCCUUUUGUUGGGAAAGAAAAGCAGCAGGUUAAUACCCCGCUGUUCUGACGGUACCCAAAGAAUAAGCACCGGCUAACUUCGUG
rnacentral:rRNA from 1 species